GACGAACGCUGGCGGCGUGCUUAACACAUGCAAGUCGAACGGAAAGGCCCUGCUUUUGUGGGGUGCUCGAGUGGCGAACGGGUGAGUAACACGUGAGUAACCUGCCCUUGACUUUGGGAUAACUUCAGGAAACUGGGGCUAAUACCGGAUAGGAGCUCCUGCUGCAUGGUGGGGGUUGGAAAGUUUCGGCGGUUGGGGAUGGACUCGCGGCUUAUCAGCUUGUUGGUGGGGUAGUGGCUUACCAAGGCUUUGACGGGUAGCCGGCCUGAGAGGGUGACCGGCGACAUUGGGACUGAGAUACGGCCCAGACUCCUACGGGAGGCAGCAGUGGGGAAUAUUGCACAAUGGGCGGAAGCCUGAUGCAGCAACGCCGCGUGCGGGACGACGGCCUUCGGGUUGUAAACCGCUUUCGCCUGUGACGAAGCGUGAGUGACGGUAAUGGGUAAAGAAGCACCGGCUAACUACGUG
rnacentral:rRNA from 1 species